rnacentral:rRNA from 1 species
AUGAUUCCCAUUGCCCACCUCUAUUGGAUCAUGCCAUCCAUGAAGAACACCUGGGACUGGAACCUGGAGGAGGACAUGUAUCCCAUCUAUAACGUGUAUAGGCUACAUUGCACUUUCUUCCCCGUCUUCCACUCUUCUUCCUCCUCUCUUCUUCUUCCUCCUCUCUUCCCCAUCGUCGGCCGCACACCAUUUACCCCCUCUCACUUCUCGCCCGCUCGCGCCAUCUUCCUUGCAGACGCAAAUGCGCUGGCCUUCAUGAUUCCAGGACCUGGAAUCAUACCAGCCGAUGGUUUGAAGCACUCCUCUGGUUUGAAGGAUAGAUACCUUCCUGGGAUCAAGUGCAUCCUAACUCACCUGCUACCAUAUAACUGGAAUUACCGAUGCAAGUCGAAGAAGGAUUGGCCGGUGCUGCCGGCUGGCGUCAAGUUCGAUCCCACGGAUCAGGAGCUGAUCGAGCACCUUGAGGCCAAAGUGAGUGCUGACAGUGCGAGAUUUCAGUCUCUCAUCAAUUUGUUCAUACCAACCAUCGACAGCGAGCACGGCAUAUGCUACACCCAACCUGAGAAACUUCCAGGGGCAUGUGGACGCGUCGCAAGAUACAGUCGUAGUGCGGCAUGCACGCGAUGUGGCACAAGACCGGCAAUACCUUGCUGGUUAUGGUCAACGGCCGGCAGACGGGCAACAAAAAAGGUUCUGGUGCUGCACACCAACAAGAACUUUGACCAGCAGAGGACCAACUGGGUGAUACACCAGGACCACCUCGGGGACCUGGAGCAAGAGAAGGAGCGGGAGCUGGUCCUCUGCAAGAUUUUCUACCAGACGAACACUAUGGCCAGGAGUAAAAAGAUUAUAAGUUAG